rnacentral:rRNA from 1 species
GACGAACGCUGGCGGCGUGCCUAAUACAUGCAAGUUGAGCGAUGAAGAUUGGUGCUUGCACCAAUUUGAAGAGCAGCGAACGGGUGAGUAACGCGUGGGGAAUCUGCCUUUGAGCGGGGGACAACAUUUGGAAACGAAUGCUAAUACCGCAUAACAACUUUAAACAUAAGUUUUAAGUUUGAAAGAUGCAAUUGCAUCACUCAAAGAUGAUCCCGCGUUGUAUUAGCUAGUUGGUGAGGUAAAGGCUCACCAAGGCGAUGAUACAUAGCCGACCUGAGAGGGUGAUCGGCCACAUUGGGACUGAGACACGGCCCAAACUCCUACGGGAGGCAGCAGUAGGGAAUCUUCGGCAAUGGACGAAAGUCUGGCCGAGCAACGCCGCGUGAGUGAAGAAGGGUGUCGGAUCGUAAAACUCGGUUGGUAGAGAAGAACGUUGGUGAGAGUGGAAAGCUCAUCAAGUGACGGUAACUACCCAGAAAGGGACGGCUAACUACGUG